rnacentral:rRNA from 1 species
CCUACGGGCGGCUGCAGUGGGGAAUAUUGCACAAUGGGCGCAAGCCUGAUGCAGCCAUGCCGCGUGUGUGAAGAAGGCCUUCGGGUUGUAAAGCACUUUCAGCGGGGAGGAAGGCGGUGAGGUUAAUAACCUCAUCGAUUGACGUUACCCGCAGAAGAAGCACCGGCUAACUCCGUGCCAGCAGCCGCGGUAAUACGGAGGGUGCAAGCGUUAAUCGGAAUUACUGGGCGUAAAGCGCACGCAGGCGGUCUGCCAAGUCGGAUGUGAAAUCCCCGGGCUCAACCUGGGAACUGCAUUCGAAACUGGCAGGCUAGAGUCUUGUAGAGGGGGGUAGAAUUCCAGGUGUAGCGGUGAAAUGCGUAGAGAUCUGGAGGAAUACCGGUGGCGAAGGCGGCCCCCUGGACAAAGACUGACGCUCAGGUGCGAAAGCGUGGGGAGCAAACAGGAUUAGAUACCCGGGUAGUC